rnacentral:rRNA from 1 species
UGGGGAAUAUUGCACAAUGGGCGCAAGCCUGAUGCAGCCAUGCCGCGUGUGUGAAGAAGGCCUUCGGGUUGUAAAGCACUUUCAGCGGGGAGGAAGGCGAUAAGGUUAAUAACCUUGUCGAUUGACGUUACCCGCAGAAGAAGCACCGGCUAACUCCGUGCCAGCAGCCGCGGUAAUACGGAGGGUGCAAGCGUUAAUCGGAAUUACUGGGCGUAAAGCGCACGCAGGCGGUCUGUCAAGUCGGAUGUGAAAUCCCCGGGCUCAACCUGGGAACUGCAUUCGAAAAUGGCAGGCUAGAGUCUUGUAGAGGGGGGUAGAAUUCCAGGUGUAGCGGUGAAAUGCGUAGAGAGAUGGAGGAAUACCGGUGGCGAAGGCGGCCCCCUGGACAAAGACUGACGCUCAGGUGCGAAAGCGUGGGGAGCAAACAGG